CGGUUAUAUAGGAAAAGCUUUAGUUGCUAGGAGAGGAGCCCGCGUCCGAUUAGCUAGUUGGUGGGGUAAGAGCUUACCAAGGCGACGAUCGGUAGCCGGUCUGAGAGGACGGACGGCCACACUGGGACUGAGACACGGCCCAG
rnacentral:rRNA from 1 species